GUGCUGGCUUUGGCAGCACACAUAACAUUGGAACAGUGCAGAAAAUAUUCACAUGGGCCCUGCGCAAGGACAACAUGCAAAUUCGUGAAGCAUUCCAUAUCUGC